rnacentral:rRNA from 1 species
GACGAACGCUGGCGGCGUGCUUAACACAUGCAAGUCGAACGGAAAGGCCCUGCUUUUGUGGGGUGCUCGAGUGGCGAACGGGUGUGUAACACGUGAGUAACCUUCCCUUGACUUUGGGAUAACUUCCGGAAACUGGGGCUAAUACCGGAUAGGAGCUCCUGCUGCAUGGUGGGGGUUGGAAAGUUUCGGCGGUUGGGGAUGGACUCGCGGCUUAUCAGAUUGUUGGUGGGGUAGUGGAUUACCAAGGCUUUGACGGGUAGGCGGCCUGAGAGGGUGACCGGCCACGUUAGGCCUGAGAUACGGCACAGUCUCCUACGGGAGGCAGCAGUGGGGAAUAUUGUACAAUGGGCGGAGGCCUGAUGUAGCAACGCCGCGUGCGGGAUGACGGCCAGCGGUUUGUAUACCGCUUUCGCCUGUGACGAAGCGUGAGUGACGGUAAUGGAUAAAGAAGCGCCGGCUAACUACGUG